rnacentral:sRNA from 1 species
CGGUCUGCUCUUCGGUUGAUGAUGAAGA